rnacentral:rRNA from 1 species
GACGAACGCUGGCGGCGUGCUUAACACAUGCAAGUCGAACGGUAAGGCCCUUCGGGCUACACGAGUGGCGAACGGGUGAGUAACACGUGGGUGACCUGCCCUGCACUCCGAGAUAAGCCAGGGAAACUGGGACUCAUACUGGAGAGGUCCACUGCGUGCAUGGGUGGUGGUGGAAAGCUUUUGCGGUGUGGGAUGGGCCCGCGGCCUAUCAGCUUGUUGGUGGGGUGAUGGCCUACCAAGGCGACGACGGGACGCCGGCCUGAGAGGGUGACCGGCCACACUGGGACUGAGAUACGGCCCAGACUCCUACGGGAGGCAGCAGUGGGGAAUAUUGGACAAUGGGCGCAAGCCUGAUGCAGCGAAGCCACGUGAAGGAUGACGGCCUUCGGGUUGUAAACCUCUUUCAGCACCGGCGAAGCGCAAGUGACGGUAGGUGCAGAAGAAGGACCGGCCAACUACGUGCCAGCAGCCGCCGUAA